UUGAUCCUGGCUCAGAUUGAACGCUGGCGGCAUGCCUAACACAUGCAAGUCGAACGGUAACAGGUCUUCGGAUGCUGACGAGUGGCGGACGGGUGAGUAACGCGUAGGAAUCUGUCUUUGAGUGGGGGACAACCCAGGGAAACUUGGGCUAAUACCGCAUAAGCCCUGAGGGGGAAAGCGGGGGAUCUUCGGACCUCGCGCUGGAAGAGGAGCCUACGUCUGAUUAGCUAGUUGGUAGGGUAAAGGCCUACCAAGGCGACGAUCGGUAGCUGGUCUGAGAGGACGACCAGCCACACUGGGACUGAGACACGGCCCAGACUCCUACGGGAGGCAGCAGUGGGGAAUUUUUCGCAAUGGGGGCAACCCUGACGAAGCAAUGCCGCGUGAAUGAAGAAGGCCUUCGGGUUGUAAAGUUCUUUCGUGGAGGACGAAAAGGUAGGUGCUAAUAUCGCCUGCUGUUGACGUGAAUCCAAGAAGAAGCACCGGCUAACUCCGUGCCAGCAGCCGCGGUAAUACGGGGGGUGCAAGCGUUAAUCGGAAUCACUGGGCGUAAAGGGUGCGUAGGCGGUGCAUUAGGUCUGUCGUGAAAUCCCCGGGCUCAACCUGGGAAUGGCGGUGGAAACCGGUGUACUAGAGUAUGGGAGA
rnacentral:rRNA from 1 species